rnacentral:rRNA from 1 species
UACGUAGGGUGCAAGCGUUGUCCGGAAUUAUUGGGCGUAAAGAGCUCGUAGGCGGUCUGUCACGUCGGCUGUGAAAACCCGGGGCUCAACCCCGGGCCUGCAGUCGAUACGGGCAGACUAGAGUGCGGUAGGGGAGACUGGAAUUCCUGGUGUAGCGGUGAAAUGCGCAGAUAUCAGGAGGAACACCGGUGGCGAAGGCGGGUCUCUGGGCCGAAACUGACGCUGAGGAGCGAAAGCGUGGGGGAGCGAACAGG